rnacentral:rRNA from 1 species
GUACACAAAAAUGCACAUGCUGUGAGCUCGAUGAGUAGGGCGGGACACGUGGUAUCCUGUCUGAAUAUGGGGGGACCAUCCUCCAAGGCUAAAUACUCCUGACUGACCGAUAGUGAACCAGUACCGUGAGGGAAAGGCGAAAAGAACCCCGGCGAGGGGAGUGAAAAAGAACCUGAAACCGUGUACGUACAAGCAGUGGGAGCACGCUUAGGCGUGUGACUGCGUACCUUUUGUAUAAUGGGUCAGCGACUUAUAUUCUGUAGCAAGGUUAACCGAAUAGGGGAGCCGAAGGGAAACCGAGUCUUAACUGGGCGUUAAGUUGCAGGGUAUAGACCCGAAACCCGGUGAUCUAGCCAUGGGCAGGUUGAAGGUUGGGUAACACUAACUGGAGGACCGAACCGACUAAUGUUGAAAAAUUAGCGGAUGACUUGUGGCUGGGGGUGAAAGGCCAAUCAAACCGGGAGAUAGCUGGUUCUCCCCGAAAGCUAUUUAGGUAGCGCCUCGUGAAUUCAUCUCCGGGGGUAGAGCACUGUUUCGGCAAGGGGGUCAUCCCGACUUACCAACCCGAUGCAAACUGCGAAUACCGGAGAAUGUUAUCACGGGAGACACACGGCGGGUGCUAACGUCCGUCGUGAAGAGGGAAACAACCCAGACCGCCAGCUAAGGUCCCAAAGUCAUGGUUAAGUGGGAAACGAUGUGGGAAGGCCCAGACAGCCAGGAUGUUGGCUUAGAAGCAGCCAUCAUUUAAAGAAAGCGUAAUAGCUCACUGGUCGAGUCGGCCUGCGCGGAAGAUGUAACGGGGCUAAACCAUGCACCGAAGCUGCGGCAGCGACGCUUAUGCGUUGUUGGGUAGGGGAGCGUUCUGUAAGCCUGCGAAGGUGUGCUGUGAGGCAUGCUGGAGGUAUCAGAAGUGCGAAUGCUGACAUAAGUAACGAUAAAGCGGGUGAAAAGCCCGCUCGCCGGAAGACCAAGGGUUCCUGUCCAACGUUAAUCGGGGCAGGGUGAGUCGACCCCUAAGGCGAGGCCGAAAGGCGUAGUCGAUGGGAAACAGGUUAAUAUUCCUGUACUUGGUGUUACUGCGAAGGGGGGACGGAGAAGGCUAUGUUGGCCGGGCGACGGUUGUCCCGGUUUAAGCGUGUAGGCUGGUUUUCCAGGCAAAUCCGGAAAAUCAAGGCUGAGGCGUGAUGACGAGGCACUACGGUGCUGAAGCAACAAAUGCCCUGCUUCCAGGAAAAGCCUCUAAGCAUCAGGUAACAUCAAAUCGUACCCCAAACCGACACAGGUGGUCAGGUAGAGAAUACCAAGGCGCUUGAGAGAACUCGGGUGAAGGAACUAGGCAAAAUGGUGCCGUAACUUCGGGAGAAGGCACGCUGAUAUGUAGGUGAAGCGACUUGCUCGUGGAGCUGAAAUCAGUCGAAGAUACCAGCUGGCUGCAACUGUUUAUUAAAAACACAGCACUGUGCAAACACGAAAGUGGACGUAUACGGUGUGACGCCUGCCCGGUGCCGGAAGGUUAAUUGAUGGGGUCAGCGCAAGCGAAGCUCUUGAUCGAAGCCCCGGUAAACGGCGGCCGUAACUAUAACGGUCCUAAGGUAGCGAAAUUCCUUGUCGGGUAAGUUCCGACCUGCACGAAUGGCGUAAUGAUGGCCAGGCUGUCUCCACCCGAGACUCAGUGAAAUUGAACUCGCUGUGAAGAUGCAGUGUACCCGCGGCAAGACGGAAAGACCCCGUGAACCUUUACUAUAGCUUGACACUGAACAUUGAGCCUUGAUGUGUAGGAUAGGUGGGAGGCUUUGAAGUGUGGACGCCAGUCUGCAUGGAGCCGACCUUGAAAUACCACCCUUUAAUGUUUGAUGUUCUAACGUGGACCCGUGAUCCGGGUUGCGGACAGUGUCUGGUGGGUAGUUUGACUGGGGCGGUCUCCUCCUAAAGAGUAACGGAGGAGCACGAAGGUUGGCUAAUCCUGGUCGGACAUCAGGAGGUUAGUGCAAUGGCAUAAGCCAGCUUGACUGCGAGCGUGACGGCGCGAGCAGGUGCGAAAGCAGGUCAUAGUGAUCCGGUGGUUCUGAAUGGAAGGGCCAUCGCUCAACGGAUAAAAGGUACUCCGGGGAUAACAGGCUGAUACCGCCCAAGAGUUCAUAUCGACGGCGGUGUUUGGCACCUCGAUGUCGGCUCAUCACAUCCUGGGGCUGAAGUAGGUCCCAAGGGUAUGGCUGUUCGCCAUUUAAAGUGGUACGCGAGCUGGGUUUAGAACGUCGUGAGACAGUUCGGUCCCUAUCUGCCGUGGGCGCUGGAGAACUGAGGGGGGCUGCUCCUAGUACGAGAGGACCGGAGUGGACGCAUCACUGGUGUUCGGGUUGUCAUGCCAAUGGCACUGCCCGGUAGCUAAAUGCGGAAGAGAUAAGUGCUGAAAGCAUCUAAGCACGAAACUUGC